GUGGGGUCGAGGUGUGCGUGUUCGACAAUCGCGGCGUGGGCUGAAGCUCCAUGCCCGUCGACAAGUCGGAGUACACGUGAGUCCGAUCGACGCAUACCGUAGGUUUGAGGGUUGAACAUCCUCAAGAACUAAUAAACAGCAUACAGGUAAUUUCAAAAUUAUGCAAGCAGCCAGUCGUUGUUUAUAUUCCAGAGCAUGAGGAAUAUCUUGAGGAAUAUGUUGGAUCUAGCACCCGGAGGGCAGUACUCCACCAAGUAAGAAAUCUUGAAAAAUCUCAAGUUUCUUUGGUCUAGCAUUAACAUAAUGGAGCAAACUCUACAUGGCCUUAGUAACUCUUGUGUUAUUUAGAG